AUUGAACGCUGGCGGCAGGCCUAACACAUGCAAGUCGAGCGGCAGCGGAAAGUAGCUUGCUACUUUGCCGGCGAGCGGCGGACGGGUGAGUAAUGUCUGGGAAACUGCCUGAUGGAGGGGGAUAACUACUGGAAACGGUAGCUAAUACCGCAUAACGUCGCAAGACCAAAGAGGGGGACCUUCGGGCCUCUUGCCAUCAGAUGUGCCCAGAUGGGAUUAGCUAGUAGGUGGGGUAACGGCUCACCUAGGCGACGAUCCCUAGCUGGUCUGAGAGGAUGACCAGCCACACUGGAACUGAGACACGGUCCAGACUCCUACGGGAGGCAGCAGUGGGGAAUAUUGCACAAUGGGCGCAAGCCUGAUGCAGCCAUGCCGCGUGUAUGAGGAAGGCCUUCGGGUUGUAAAGCACUUUCAGCGGGGAGGAAGGUGUUGAGGUUAAUAACCUCAGCAAUUGACGUUACCCGCAGAAGAAGCACCGGCUAACUCCGUGCCAGCCGCCGCAGUAAUAC
rnacentral:rRNA from 1 species